UUGGAGAACGCCAAUGGUGCUGUAGUGAAACCUCUGGAAGAAUUCCGAAAGAAGUAUAUCGGAGGGGCCAAAAGCGAGAAAAAGAAAUUCGAAAAACAAACGGCAAAAUUCUGCCAGAACCAGGAGAGAUAUUUAAAUCUGACGACGAAAAAGACGAAUUCACUUCAGGAGGCGGAUGCAUCGGUUGACAUGGCCGAGCGCCAUUUUUAUGCUGCGAGCAUGGACUAUGUGUAUCUAAUCCAGGAAGUUCACGAGAGAAAGAAAUUUGAGUUUGUCGAAACGCUGCUGGCAUUUGUUUAUGCAUGGUUCACAUUCUACCAUCAGGGAUACGAAUUGAAGAAAGAAUGUGAUCCAUAUUGGAAAGAAUUGCAAACGAAAAUCCAAAAAACCCGAAACAAUUUUGAUGAUUUCAGUCAAAAACUGAAGAAACGAAUGUCUGAAGUACAGAAACAGGAUGAGCCAGUGAGAAAUGCUAAAGGUUGCCGAGAAGGAUAUUUGUUUCUGUUAGAAAAAAAGGCGUUUGGCACUACUUGGUCAAAACAUUACUGCAAUUAUGACAAGAAUAAGAAAAUUUUCAGUAUGGUUCCUUAUAACCAACUCACAACAAAAACAGUAAGUCGGAUCUCUACUUGCAAGCCGUAUAUAGUUCUAAUUUUUUUUCGAUUUCAGCUUCAAUCCCCUGAGAAUUUGCUUCUCUCAUCCUGUGUUAGGCGAAUGUCUGAUUCUAUCGAAAAAAGAUUUUGUUUCGAUAUACAAUCAGAGGAUAGACCAGGUGUUGUACUUACCUUUCAGGCACUUUCAGAACAAGAUAGGAAAGCUUGGAUGGAUAUUAUGGAUGGAAAGGAACCUACCUACACGACACCAAGUAAUAAUGUAAGCAAGAUUCCAAAUUCGGAGGAAAGGGUCCUCGAUGAAACAGGAAUUCAGUUUGUAAAAAAGUGUAUAGAAGUUCUUGAAAGUAGAGGUUUGGAAGAGCAAGGCAUAUACAGGGUGGUUGGCGUCAGUUCAAAAGUAAACAAGUUAUUAACUAUGGGGUUGGACCGCAGGAAAAGUGAAAAACUUGCCUUUGACGAUCCAUUCGAAUGGGAAACUAAGACCAUUACGAGUGCUUUGAAAACGUAUCUGAGAAAUUUGCCUGAGCCCCUGAUGACGUACCGAUAUCAUAAUGGAUUCAUUGCAGCAGUCAAAAGUGAAUCGAAACAGACCAGAAUAAAUGACGUUCACACGUUGCUUUAUAGGUUACCAAAAACUAAUUUUGAGGUGUUGAAAAUUUUAAUGAAGCAUUUGACGAAUGUUGUUGCUAAAAGCGACAAGAAUCUUAUGACUGUAAGCAAUUUGGGAGUUUGUUUCGGCCCUACAUUACUCCGCCCAGAAGAAGAAACAGUGGCCUCGAUAAUGGACCUAAAGUUUUACAAUAUAGUAGUUGAAAUUCUCAUCGAUAAUUAUCAAAGGAUAUUUUUCAAUGAGCCCCAGUCGGUGUCGCCGAAUUCUGUCCAUUCGUCAAACAUGAACGGACCUACCACUACUACGAGUCCGAGUAUUUACGGAUCGCCUAACAAUCAUCUACCCACUUUCAAUGCAUUUCAUGUUGGAAAGGGAGGACAGGCAUUAUCUUCCAGUUACAGAGGGUAUACGCAACCGUAUACUUGUACGGUUACUUCUUACAUAGAACCACCAAUAUCCUCAAGUAUGUACAGUGUCCACGAGCCGACAAAUGGGGUAUAUGGGAUGUCCAGGAGCGAACUAGUUUCAAACAGGCAGCAACCCACCCAGCAGAGGUUCAAACCGUUGGUUCCUUCAAUAACAUCCCAAUCUGAAACUAAUCUUCCUGCACUGCAGAACUACAGUCCUACAAGUUUUCGUAACCCUUAUGGUCGACUUGAUCCGAACAGUGCCAGUAGUUCAAAUGAAUCAUUGUCGUCCACUUCCAGGGAUGGCAAUAAAAUUGUUGAAGUAACACCAAAGAAAAGCGAGAGGUCUUCCUUUUAUUUAAGUUAUCCGAAAGGUUAUAAGUCGCCAGGUUAUGUGACGCUGCAUUCUCCUUCUUUAAUUACUAACACUUCUUCUGGGAGGGCUAGUCCGACAUUUAGUAGAGUCAGGAGAGUGAGGACUUUGUAUGCCUGCUUGGGAGAACACGAUGGUGAACUGUCAUUUGAACCAAAUCAAAUAAUCACAAAUGUUAAAUCAUCUCCCGAACCAGGAUGGUUGGAAGGCACCCUGAAUGGUAAAACUGGUUUGAUACCAGAAAAUUAUGUUGAGAUCCUCCCUUGACAGAGCGGAUCGUUAACGAAAAUCUCCACUUCUCUCCGUCAUGGCCUCUGUAGAGCCUUACAUCUCAACAAUUCUCAGCCUGACGUGACACACAAUCCAAGAUUAAGUAGGCAUAGGCAGAGCUUAGACAGUACUAGGGCUUUGAUGAGACAGUCUAGCAUAGAUAGAAAAAGCUCUACUUAGACUUGUAAGAUUUGCCAGUGGUUCAGAAAAUUUACUAGAAAACUAUAUGAUAUGUUAUGAAGGAGCAUAUGCAUGCCUGGAGGAAAAAAUAUUGAGAAAUUUCAAGUGUACUGACAUUUCGUUGAAAAUUUGUGAAAAUAUCUGGGUUUUUAAUUUAUGUAUGUUUAGAUGAUUUUGUACAUUUGAUAAAUACCUGUUAUGUUGUCUUUUGUACAUUCGAUAAAAACCUGUUGAGUUGUUUUUUUGCUUUGGUCAUCUUUUAUCAAAUACAAUUCUGAGCAAAUGUCAAUCAGUUGUUCAUAAAUGGAAAUCAAAUAAUAUAUUUCAGGCCUGGAUUCAAUGUGAAAGAUUGUUAUUCAAACAGGGAAUAAGUUUUCGGUAUCUUGGUAUAAAGGCAUGAUUGACAGGUUCAGUAAAAACUCUUGAAAAAAGGAAACAACUUAUCGAUAUAGCAAUAUGUAAUAAGUACCUAUAGAUUUAAUGGGACCAUUCCCUAAUGUAACACCAAAUUCUCAUAUCAUAAAUACACCUAUUGUUUAUGAAGUUACCUUCUCUUUAGUUUUUUAUAUUUUCUUAUAGAUUUUCAGUUAUUCUUUUAUAAAUAUCUAGGAAUUAGUGUGUGACGAGCAAGGGCUUUGAUAAGAAGAUGGUGCAAGAUGAAUUCAAAUAUCUCUUUAUGGGUAGUUGCUGGCUGACCUCAUGAUUUCAAUAAUACAAAUGAAAUGAAAUUAUUUCAUUUCUAAUCAAGUAUAAUUUGGUUAUAACCAAGUUAUUUAGAUUAUUUAAUUCAGUGUCUUGAAAAUAUACAUUUGAAAAAUAUUUAUAAUUCUUAUUCAACAGAAAAUUUAGAAUGGAUGAGAAUUUUAGAAUGGAUGAGAAUUUUUAAUUUUUUUAACCUGUCAACCCAUAUCUCCUUGCACCAACUUUUCAAAUUUGGACAAUGGUUUCAUGUUUAUCCAUAUAUCCUUUCAAUAUACACAUUUAUUUGUGAUAUUUUUAUGUAUGUUCACCAUUAAUAUAUUCUAUUGUACAAUUUGGUUGCAAAUAAAUAAUAUAUUUCUAUUCUUUGAAUUAUCAUAUCUGUAGGAUAUUUAUGUAAUGUAUAUAUUUUAUUCAGUUGUUAAUACGUUUUACUUCAUCUUAUGUGUAAUUGUCAUAAUUGUUGUAUUAUUUAUGAAUAAAAAUAUAGUGAAAA